AACGAACGCUGGCGGCAGGCCUAAUACAUGCAAGUCGAGCGAGGACUUCGGUCCUAGCGUCGGCCGGGUGAGUAACGCGUGGGAACGUGCCCUUUUCUUCGGAAUAGCUCUGGGACACUGGGAGCAAUACCGGACGAGCCCUUAGGGGGAAAGAUUUAUCGGCGAAGGAUCGGCACGCGUUGGAUUCGGUCGUUGGUGGGGUAAUGGCCUAACACGCGGAGGAUGCAUAGCUGGUUUGAGAGGAUGAUCAGCCACACUUGGACUGAGACACGGCCCAGACUCCUACGGGAGGCAGCAGUGGGGAAUCGUAGACAAUGGGGGAAACCCUGAUGUAGCCAGGACGGGAGAGCGAUGAAGGCCUGAGGGUUGUAAAGCGCUUUCAGCUGGGAAGAUAAUGACGGUACCAGCAGAGAAAGCCCCGGCUAACUACGUG
rnacentral:rRNA from 1 species